rnacentral:rRNA from 1 species
UACGUAGGGGGCAAGCGUUGUCCGGAUUUAUUGGGCGUAAAGAGCUCGUAGGUGGUUUGUCGCGUCGGGAGUGAAAACCUCGGGCUUAACUCGGGGCUUGCUUUCGAUACGGGCAGACUAGAGGUAUGCAGGGGAGAACGGAAUUCCUGGUGUAGCGGGUGGAAAUACGCAGAUAUCAGGAGGAACACCGGUGGCGAAGGCGGUUCUCUGGGCAUGAUCUGA